ACUUUCCAAUCGCAAACUUCAUAACCAAAAGGAGUGAUCUCCCUCAAGAAGCGCAACUGAAUAUACGGGAAGCCAAAAGGUUAAAAAGGAAGUCGAUGGAGUUGAUCAGACAGUGAGAUCUUAAUAUUUGGGAUUGUAUCGGUCAGCCUCUAGUCUUGUACUGGCAAUGUGGCUCUUUGGAUACUGUAGAUAUUGCAGCUCUAUCAAGAGUUCUUGAUCUUCUGCCAUUUUAAAUAAAGCUUUAUGCAAGUUUCUGAGUGGUACUGUGGCCCAGCUCACAGAUCGCAGUCCAGUGUGGCAGCUGUAGUCUAUUUAGAGGCUUGGAUCUGUAGUCUUCUACAAAGAUACUGAAACCUUCGAACACAGCUCCUCCACUGUCUUCAUGGAGAGUCAUCCCAUGGCCUCGUUAUUCAUCCUUCUCAUCUGUUCUGCUCUCACGCAUCUGUGGAUUUUUCUGCGGUCAGCUGCUCGCGGUCUGACACGUCGUCAUCUUUGGGUGGCCGUGCCCGAUCGAAGAAGCCACACUGAAGAACCAGAGCAGGUGGGACGGCGGGUGGGAAAUGGAAAAAAAAAAA